rnacentral:rRNA from 1 species
GCACCUUCGGGUGUGAAUUAGCGGCGAACGGGUGAGGAACACGUGAGAAAUCUGCCUUCAACUCUGGGAUAACUCCGUGAAAACGGGGCUAAUACCGGAUAUGAGAUCUACAGGCAUCUGUGGAUCUGGAAAGUUUUUCGGUUGAAGAUGAUCUCGCGGCCUAUCAGCUUGUUGGUGAGGUAAUGGCUCACCAAGGCGACGACGGGUAGCCGGCCUGAGAGGGCGACCGGCCACACUGGGACUGAGACACGGCCCAGACUCCUACGGGAGGCAGCAGUGGGGAAUAUUGGGCAAUGGAGGAAACUCUGACCCAGCGACGCCGCGUGCGGGAUGAAGGCCUUCGGGUUGUAAACCGCUUUCAGCAGGGAAGAAGCGAAAGUGACGGUACCUGCAGAAGAAGCACCGGCUAACUAUGUGCCAGCAGCCGCGGUAAUACAUAGGGUGCAAGCGUUGUCCGGAAUUAUUGGGCGUAAAGAGCUCGUAGGUGGUUCGUCACGU